rnacentral:rRNA from 1 species
UACGGGGGGGGCAAGCGUUGUUCGGAAUUACUGGGCGUAAAGGGCUCGUAGGCGGCCAACUAAGUCAGAUGUGAAAUCCCCAGGCUCAACCUGGGAACUGCAUCUGAUACUGGAUGGCUUGAAUUCGGGAGAGGGAUGCAGAAUUCCAGGUGUAGCGGUGAAAUGCGUAGAUAUCUGGAGGAACACCGAUGGCGAAGGCAGCCCCCUGGGCUAACACUGACGCUCAUGCACGAAAGCGUGGGGAGCAAACAGG